UACAGAGGGCUCAAGCGUUGUUCGGAUUCAUUGGGCGUAAAGGGUGCGUAGGUGGCGGGUUAAGUCAGGUGUGAAAUCUCGAGGCUCAACCUAGAAACUGCACUUGAUACUGCCUUGCUGGAGUACUGGAGAGGAGAUUGGAAUUUACGGUGUAGCAGUGAAAUGCGUAGAUAUCGUAAGGAAGACCAGUGGCGAAGGCGAAUCUCUGGACAGUUACUGACACUGAGGCACGAAGGCCAGGGGAGCAAAAGGG
rnacentral:rRNA from 1 species